ensembl:lncRNA novel transcript
AGCUGGGAAGCCGGGAGCCGAAACUGGACGGGUGGGGUGGUGCCUGGCUGGGGUGCAGUGAGCUGAUUCUGCCCCGGACAAAUGCGCGGAGCCGGCUAGGGUACUGGCUGAACGGGCAGGGCCAGAUUCUAGGGAGAAGGAGGGGAGGAAAUGCGGGGUUCGGAGUCGAGAUCCGAGAGCCUCUCCAGACCCCGCAACCCAGAUACAAGGCCUCUCGCGACGUGGGGGUGAACCUCGCCCUCUUCUACUGGAAGCUGCUGGCUGUGCAUGUGCAUCUGGGUUUCAUUAUCGCCUUCGAGAAUGUAGUGUUCUUCUUCCUGUGCCCCAACGACCGGCUCGUGCCCGAUGUGCCAGCCCUGGCUACCAAGAUAACUGCGCGAGCGCUACCUGGCCAAGCAGGCGGUGGCAGACAACCGGGAGACGCUGUUUCAGUCAGCAAGGCAGGCGGACCCCGGCCCCACCCGCAACAUAAUGACCAUAAUGACCACGCCCCUUGGCCUGCCCUCAAGCUUCAGCUCAGCCCUCUCUAGUUCAGCACUCUCUAGCCCCGCCCCCUUAUUUGGCCUCAUCCAUUGGAGGGAUUGGCUGGACUCCCUGUAGUUUCCGCCUGUUCCCGCCCAUCAUUAAGCUCCGCCCCCGCCAAGCCCCCUUUUCUACUUUAUCUGCAAGCUGGGGUUGGGGGCUCUGCUCUGGAGUGCCAGCCUGCUCAGCCUGACCAAGCUGUGCUCUAUGUCCGCACAAGGGACGCAGGGGCGUCCAGGACGCAGGGGCGAGUGAGGCAGGGCUGCCCUUCCAGGACCCUAGGUUCCCCAGGAUGCUCCUCCUAUUGGGGUCCUCUGGCUUCCAGUUACGCAUCUGGGCAGUGUCCCAAGGCCGGUCCGGGAGUUGGAUGAGAGGAUUGGAGUUCCCUGGAGACCUCCAGACCUGCACUGCUACCCUUCCGUGUUCUUGCCUCCUGGCCUCUGUGCAAUGCUGACAAUAAACCUGUCUCUGCGUCCCAGA